UACGUAGGGUGCAAGCGUUGUCCGGAAUUAUUGGGCGUAAAGGGCGCGCAGGCGGCCACGCACGUCCGUUGUGAAAUCGCUCGGCUCAACUGGGCGGGGUCAGCGGAUACGGCGCGGCUGGAGCAAGCUAGGGGGCAAUGGAAUUCCCGGUGUAGUGGUGGAAUGCGUAGAUAUCGGGAGGAACACCAGUGGCGAAGGCGGUUGCCUGGAGCUUUGCUGACGCUGAUGCGCGAAAGCGUGGGGAGCGAUCCGG
rnacentral:rRNA from 1 species